rnacentral:rRNA from 1 species
UACAGAGGUCUCAAGCGUUGUUCGGAUUCAUUGGGCGUAAAGGGUGCGUAGGCGGGUCUUUAAGUCAGGGGUGAAAUCCUGGAGCUCAACUCCAGAACUGCCUUUGAUACUGAGGAUCUUGAGUUCGGGAGAGGUGAGUGGAACUGCGAGUGUAGAGGUGAAAUUCGUAGAUAUUCGCAAGAACACCGGUGGCGAAGGCGGCUUCCUGGACCGACACUGACGCUGAGGCGCGAAAGCUAGGGGAGCAAACGGG